rnacentral:rRNA from 1 species
GAUGAACGCUGGCGGCGUGCCUAAUACAUGCAAGUCGAGCGAACGGACGAGGAGCUUGCUCCUCUGACGUUAGCGGCGGACGGGUGAGUAACACGUGGAUAACCUACCUAUAAGACUGGGAUAACUUCGGGAAACCGGAGCUAAUACCGGAUAAUAUAUUGAACCGCAUGGUUCAAUAGUGAAAGACGGUUUUGCUGUCACUUAUAGAUGGAUCCGCGCCGCAUUAGCUAGUUGGUAAGGUAACGGCUUACCAAGGCGACGAUGCGUAGCCGACCUGAGAGGGGGAUCGGCCACACUGGAACUGAGACACGGUCCAGACUCCUACGGGAGGCAGCAGUAGGGAAUCUUCCGCAAUGGGCGAAAGCCUGACGGAGCAACGCCGCGUGAGUGAUGAAGGUCUUCGGAUCGUAAAACUCUGUUAUUAGGGAAGAACAAAUGUGUAAGUAACUAUGCACGUCUUGACGGUACCUAAUCAGAAAGCCACGGCUAACUACGUG